UCAAAUUCGUCGUGUUUACUGUCUGCAUGAAUUUGCUCUCAUAAGCGUAUUUGUUCAUAUUUCCAUAGUAAAAGAAACGUCCACCAUAUUCUCCGUAUCCUGAGUAAGUGGAAGCUGGCGGGGGUCUCAACGGGAGUGUCAAAGGAAUCUAUAAAGAAAGAAACAUCGUUAAAGUUAUUUAUUGAUAGUUACACUGUGAAUUGUAUAAUCAAUAAUGAAUAUUAGUAAUCUAUAUGUUAUUACUUGAUACUUAGAAAAAUUUGGUAUUGACCGGUAAAAAGAGUGCCAUUUUUCAAUACGAAAGACAAACCUUAUUUUAUUGAUGGAAAAUAGAUGGCUAUAAAAGAAGAGAUAGUCGAUUCUGCUGUACGAGGACCGAUGAUGGACGAAUGAUACUUUGAAAUUUGACUAAGUAGCUCGUUCAGGUUGUCGAGCAGACUACCAGCGUAGAAACAAAGCCUUGGAAAUUUUUGUUGCUUCGUUGGAGGAUGUGUAUACCUCCAAGUGACGGCUCGUAGCAUUUUUUUUCAUGACGUUCUCGUUGCGCUUUAUUAUACCAUCCACCUUCGCGCAAGCCAUCAGAAAGGCGCCAUUUAAAACUGCUGCUGCAACCGUUGAGCAGUGUCUAAUACAGGCAAAAGUGAGUUCCAGUUAUUUUUUUUUAUAAAAUAAUGGAUACAAUUAUCUUUUUUCUUUUGAGAAUUUUAGAAGUUAGAUUUUUUAUUCUUCACGUCCAUAUCUCCUUAGAUAUCUUCUUUUUUUGGAAUAUUUUAUUCAUAAAAAGCAUGGAAUAUACAAAAGGUGAGAGUGGUAAUUAUUAUUUUUAACAUUAUAUGUUAUUAGUUUUAAAAAAAAUGAGAUGAUAUAUUUUAUAAAAAUUUCUCUUCUAGAUAAUGAUGCAGAUAAUAAAAAUCUAAAAUUAAAGGAGACAUUGAUACAAACCAGUGGUAUUUAAAAAAUUACCUAGAAACUAAACGAACGGAAGUAGCAACAUCAUGAAGAGGCAGUAAACGAAGAAUCAUCUCCAAAACUUCCGGCGGAAGCGUGUCCAAUGCAUAGCCGUGACAACUUUGUUCUGUUAACGGGGAUGUUUCUGAUUCUUUC